GGCGGACGGGUGAGUAACACGUGGGUAACCUGCCCAGAAGUAGGGGAUAACAUUUGGAAACAAGUGCUAAUACCGUAUAACAACAUUAAACACAUGUUUUUUGUUUGAAAGAUGGCUCUGCUAUCUCUUCUGGAUGGACCCGCGGCGUAUUAGCUAGUUGGUGAGGUAAUAGCUCACCAAGGCAAUGAUACGUAGCCGACCUGAGAGGGUAAUCGGCCACAUUGGGACUGAGACACGGCCCAAACUCCUACGGGAGGCAGCAGUAGGGAAUCUUCCACAAUGGGCGAAAGCCUGAUGGAGCAAUGCCGCGUGAGUGAAGAAGGUUUUCGGAUCGUAAAACUCUGUUAUUGAAGAAGAACAUGCGUGAGAGUAACUGUUCACGUACUGACGGUAUUCAAUCAGAAAGCCACGGCUAACUACGUGCCAGCAGCCGCGGUAAUACGUAGGUGGCAAGCGUUGUCCGGAUUUAUUGGGCGUAAAGAGAAUGUAGGCGGUUUAUUAAGUUUGAAGUGAAAGCCCUCGGCUCAACCGAGGAAGUGCUCGAAAA
rnacentral:rRNA from 2 species